rnacentral:rRNA from 1 species
UUUUUGAAGAGUUUGAUUCUGGCUCAGGACGAACGUUGGCGGUGUGUCUAAGGCAUGCAAGUCGAACGAGAUUGUUUUCUUCGGAAAACAUUAUAUCUAGUGGCAGACGGCUGAGUAACGCGUAAGUAACUUACCCUAGAGUGGGGAAUAACACAGAGAAAUCUGUGCUAAUACCGCAUACGAUUUAUAGAUAAUUUUUAUAAAUGAAAGAUUUAUCGCUCUUGGAUGGGCUUGCGUCCUAUCAGGUUGUUGGCGGGGUAAUAGCCCACCAAGCCUAAGACGGGUAGCUGGUGUGAGAGCACGACCAGCCAGAGGGGGACUGAGACACGGCCCCCACUCCUACGGGAGGCAGCAGCAGGGAAUUUUGGGCAAUGGGCGAAAGCCUGACCCAGCGACGUCGCGUGAGGGAUGAAGGCCUUAGGGCUGUAAACCUCUUUUCCAAGGGAAGAGGAAGGACGGUACUUUGGGAAUAAGCUCCGGCUAACUACGUGCCAGCAGCCGCGGUAAUACGUAGGGAGCUAGCGUUACCCGGAAUUACUGGGCGUAAAGGGCGCGUAGGCGGCUUGGUAAGUCUCUUGUGAAAGCUCCCGGCUUAACUGGGAGAGGUCAAGGGAUACUCCCAGGCUAGAGGGCAGUAGAGGUAAGCGGAAUUCCCGGUGU